UGCCCCAUUUAAGGGGCAAACCUCGCAGCCAACUGGCAGACAGGAAGAAGGGGCGGGAGCCAGUGAGAGUUGCGAAGGGGGCAAUGUUAACCGAUGACAGUCAGCAAGUGGAGCCAAUCAGUGGCGGCGUAGUUACUCGACGGCCCAAUUAGAAGCGUUGAGAGGGGUGAGAAGCGGGGGGGGUGGCCGCGUAUCUUCGCAGCUCCUUCGCAUUUGUUUCCCGGGUUCGUGUUUCCCGGGCGGAGCCGCCCCCCCGGCACUGAGAAGAAGGGGGCUCAGCGCACCGCGGCGGCGCCUCAGCGGGUUUCGUUUUUGCACUGAAUGUAGCCAGGACGGAUCCUUGUGGGCUUUGGCAGCCCUUGGAAACUGUCAAAGGCAGUAUUUUGCAUUUCUGCAGAGCUUUGCACAGAUCCUGUUCCCAUGCAAACUGAUGAGGGAGAAAUACUGGAGGAAGGCAGUCCCAAGGUCAGUGAGAUGGAACAUGAGGAUUUUGUAAUGGAGGGGCAUGGCAAGACUCCACCUCCUGGUGAAGAAAACAAACAG